CCCUAAGUAUUUUAAUGAAUCCAUCUUCCCCUACACAUGCUGCAUGUUUUCCAGAGGAAGCAAAGAUGCCAUAUUGCAUCACCGAGCCAUCAUCAUUCAACACAAGUCAGUAUGUGCAGGUGGCAGAUAUCACAGCACAUAGGAGAAGGAUAGCCCUGGAAGGACUGCCGCUUUUCUUCAGGGAAGAGUCUACAUGCCUUUUCAGGAAAUGCCUGAUGCUGUGAGGAGAGUUGGAUUUGUUGGUGAG